GCGCUGCCUGGGCCUCUGCCUCUGCCGCCAGAACCCUUGAUGGGAGCAGGCUGGGUCCCAGUGAGUAGCUCUGCCACCUGUGGAAAACCGACUUGGGAGUCAAGCCAGGGGGCGUCACUCCUCCCCUCGACGGAAGGGAGCCCUGACCCUGGGGCCAGACAGAAGUCAGAGCUGCUUGGAGCGCGAGGCAGACCCAUCACCGGGGCUCAGGCUCCAGACCUACCUGAGGGUCGUGAGAGCGAAGAAGCCAUGCACACCGGCUUUUGACAAACACCUGCCAAACACCUGCCGUGCUGCAGAGCAAGAGGGACUGCUGUCACCCUGAGCAGGCGACUCCCCGUGCCUGGGCCUCCGCAUCCUUCUCUUAGAAUGAACAGACCUGGCCUCCAGCUCUGAUGGCUACGACAGAUGUAAAAGAAUCUCACGCAGCACCCGCUCCCCAGAAAGGUGGCACUGCCCACUCAGCAGACGCUUGGCUUUGAUGGCAUCCAGAGGAAGCGUGGUGUCAGCCCUCACUUCCUCCUUCCCUUUCUCCCUCCCCCGCACUCAGCACCACCCUGGGCUCCACUGGACUGAGGCGGGGGUCUUGACAGGGCCAGGGUUGUCCCAGCCGAGGCAGCCCAGGAUCUAAACCGCAUGAGCUCCCACAAAGAAGCGUGCUCACCAUGUCCCAAGUGACGCGGGCGCUGAGUCACAGUCCCAGGCACAGCCUCGGCUGCUCUGCCACUCCUGUGAACUCCCCAGAUCACUCACCCCGGGGCCCUGGGCCACCACGGUGCCCUGAGAAAGAGCCCAAGAAAGCCCAGAAUUAGUCAUAAGAUGUGAAAUCAGAAUCACACAGGCCAUGUGCCCAACCUUUAAACAGCCAGGGCAGCUCCACCCCACGGCUCCUCUGUAGGCCCCAGACAACGGGCAGGGGAGGGCAGCCAGGCCUGUACCCAGACAGGCCUGAAGGCAGGGCUCCUGGGGGCCAUCUGUCUAAAUCAUCAGUUCCCGUUGUGGCUCAGUGGUUAACCAAUCCGACUAGGAACCAUGAGGUUGCAGGUUCAAUCCCUGGCCUUGCUCAGUGGGUUAAGGAUCCAGCGUUGCUGUGAGCUGUGGUGUAGAUCAAAGAUGUGGCUUGGACCCCAUGUUGCUGUGGCUGUGGUGUAGGCCAGUGGCUCCAGCUCCGAUGAGACCCCUAGCCUGCAAACCUCCAUAUGCCUCAGGUGCGGCCCUAAAAAGACAAAAGACUAAAUAAAUCAAUAAAUAACAUCAGUUUAAA
ensembl:lncRNA